rnacentral:tRNA from 1 species
GCUGAAGUAGCUCAGUUGGUAGAGCAACUGAUUCGUAAUCAGUAGGUCGGGGGUUCAAGUCCUCUCUUCAGCACCA